rnacentral:lncRNA from 1 species
AGAUGUCUUGAGGCCUUCCAGACCUUGCUCCACCUCCACCACCAGGUCUCCAGUCCUGAGCCACAUGCUGCCAUUUUUGUCUCAGAAGCACCCCUCUUCCAGGUGGAAGAUUGAAGGUCUGAAGAGUGGGAAGACCCAGGAACAGGCAAGUCCAGGAAGAUAUGAGGAAAAUCAAGAAAGAGAAGGAAACUGAAGCUAGUGGGAAGUGCUUCAAGUUGGAGAUGAUGCUGAGAUGGCCAAAAAGUGAGAGGUGGAAAACAUUUGGAGUGAGUUAAGGAGAGAACGCGAGGCAAGGAAGUGAAGCCGAGUGAGUUGGGAGUGGGGUGCAGGGGCCUUUGGCCACCCCAGGCUCUUUCUAUGUGAACAUUCUGAGACUGAUUCUGAUUUUUUUCCCCUCCCAAAUUGCUCUCUUUUCCUUUCUUCACCUACUUACUCCCUGGUCAUCCUUCCUUUGGGUCAGUGAAGUUGCUGGUUCUUUAGGGAACACUUCUCUGAUUGCUGAAGCUAAUAGUCUCUCCCUGCGGUUGCCGGUUGUUUCCAAUAGUUGACUAGUUUUCUUCCCCAGCACUUACCAGUACACAGCCAGUCACUCUGGUUGCUCACUGUCUUCCUUCUUCCUUGACUGUCAGCUCACAGGAAUGCAGGGCCCUUACUUGUUUUACUCACCACUGCAUCCCAAGGAUAUAGCAGAGUGCCUGGCACACGGUAGGUGCUGAAU